rnacentral:rRNA from 1 species
GCCAGACUCCUACGGGAGGCAGCAGUGGGGGAUAUUGCACAAUGGGGGGAACCCUGAUGCAGCGACGCCGCGUGGGUGAAGAAGUAUUUCGGUAUGUAAAGCCCUAUCGGCAGGGAAGAAUUUAGACGGUACCUGACUAAGAAGCCCCGGCUAACUACGUGCCAGCAGCCGCGGUAAUACGUAGGGUGCAAGCGUUGUCCGGAAUUACUGGGUGUAAAGGGAGCGCAGGCGGAUUGACAAGUUGGGAGUGAAAACUACGGGCUCAACCCGUAACCUGCUUUCAAAACUGUCAGUCUUGAGUGGUGUAGAGGUAGGCGGAAUUCCCGGUGUAGCGGUGGAAUGCGUAGAUAUCGGGAGGAACACCAGUGGCGAAGGCGGCCUACUGGGCACUAACUGACGCUGAGGCUCGAAAGCAUGGGUAGCAAACAGGAUUAGAUACCCCCGUAAAC